UAAAUGUCUUCUUUUGAGAAGUGUCUGUUCAUAUCCUUCGCCCACUUUUUGAUGGGGCUGUUUUUUUCUUGUAGAUUUGUUUGAGUUCAUUGUAGAUUCUGGAUAUUAGCCCUUUGUCAGAUGAGCAGAUUGCAAACAUUCUCUCCCAUUCUGUAGGUUGCCUGUUCACUCUGAUGGUAGUUUCUUAAAUCUGUAGUGAUGCCCCUACUAUCAUUCCUGAUUUGAUAAUUUGUGUCUUUUUAUUUCCUGAUAAUUCUACCUAGAGGUUUAUCAAUUUUAUUGAUCUUUUUUAAGAACCAGCUUUUGUUUCUAUUGAUUUUCUCUAUUAUUUAUCUGCUCUUAUAUCAUUGUUUCUGCUCUUUAUUACUUCUUUCUUUCUGCUUAUUUUGGAUUUAGUUUGCUCAUUUUUUUCUGUUUUCUUAAGAAUUAAAUGAGUAAUAUUUAUUACAUUUACUCUCCACCAUACAAUAAUUAGAGCUACUGUAUUAGCUCUAACUCUGUUUGUUAGGUUUUAGAGAUAACUCAAGUUUUACUUCAUCAGUCUAUUGUCAAAUACCAUUAUGUCAUUUCACAAAUAGUCUAAGAAUUACAAAAGUAAACUUCUAUUUUCCUCCUCCUUUGUUUUUUUGCUAGUAUUAUACAUUAUACUUUUACAUAAAAUAUCAUUGCCAUAGUUUGCCUUAAACGGUUAUCUAUUAGUGCUUAAAAAAUUUUAAAGCCUAUAUAUUUAUCCACAUAUUUUCCAUUUCUUGUGUUCUUUCUUUCUAAAGAUCCAAAUUUCCAUCUAGUACCAUUUUCUUUCUGCCUGAAAAACUUCCUUGAACAUUUUUUAUAGUGUAGAUCUGCUAGUGAUUAAUUCUCUCAGCAUUUGUUUGGCUGAAAAGUCUUUACUUCACCUUCAUUUUUGAAAGAUACUUUAAAGAUACUGCUCCAUUGCCUUUUUGCCUUCAUAUCUUCUGAUGAAAAGUGUGCUCUCAUUCUUAUGUUUCUUUCUCUGAAUGCAUGUGUCAUUUACUAUCAAGUUUUAAGAUUUUUCUCUUCAAUUUAAUUAGGACAUGUCAUUGUUUUGUUUUCAUGUUGCUUCUCCUUAGGGUUGGUUAAGAUACUUGGAUCUGUGAGUUUAUAGUUUUCAUCAAAUUGGGGGAAAAUUUGACCAUUAUUUCUUCAAAUAUUUUUCUAUCCCCCUCCAUUCUUCUGAGAAGCCACUUACAUAUAUAUUAGACUGCUUGAUAAUGAAACACAAAACUUAUACGCUUUUUUCUUUGUACUUAAUGUUGGAUAAUUUAUAUAGCUAUAUAUUCAAGUUCAUUAAUAUUUUCUUCUCCAGUAUCUAAUCUCUUAAUCCUAUUCAGUGUAUAUUCUUACUUCAGAUAUUGUAUUUUUCAUCUCUAAAAGUUCUAUUUGGGUCAUUUUUAUACCUUCCAUUUAUUUCUUCAUUAUGUUUUUAUCUACUACUUGAACGAUAUUUAUGGUAGCUGAUCUACUGUAUUUGUCCAUUUUCACACUGCUAUAAAGAACUACCUGAGACUGUGUAAUUUAGGAAGAAAGGAGGUUUAAAUGAUGCAGUUCCACAGGCUUAACAGGAAGCAUGGCUAGGAGGCCUCAGGAAACUUACAAUGGCAGAAGGCAAAGGGAAGCAAGCACAUCUUACCAUGGUGGAGCAGGAGACACAGAGGGAAAAGAAGGAAGUGCUACACGCUUUUAAACAACCAGAUCUCAUGAGAACUCAUUCACUAUUAUGAGAACACCAAGGGGUGUUCUCCAUAUCCAUGGAGAAUACUCCAUAUUCAUAUCCAUAUAGGUGUUCACCAUAAUCCAGUCACCUCCUAUCAGGUCCCUCCCCCAACACUGGGGGUUACAAUUCAACAUGAGAUUUGCGUUGGGACGCAGAGCCAAACCAUAUCAUUUACUAAUGCCAUCAUCUGUCAUUCUCAGUCUAUUACCAUUGACUAAAGAUUCUCUUGACUGUGGAUUGCCUUUUCCUUUUUUUUUUCAUGCCUGGUAACUUUUUAUUAGAUGCUAAUCAUUGUGAAUGUUACACUUUUGGUGCUGGAUUUUAUUGUAGUUUUUAUUUUUAUUUUGAUGGGUUUUCU
rnacentral:lncRNA from 1 species